AACGAACGCUGGCGGCAGGCUUAACACAUGCAAGUCGAGCGCCCCGAAAGGGGAGCGGCAGACGGGUGAGUAACGCGUGGGAAUGUGCCCUUUGGUCUGGAAUUACUCAGGGAAACUUGAGCUAAUACCGGAUAAGCCCUUCGGGGGAAAGAUUUAUUGCCAUUGGAGCAGCCCGCGUCAGAUUAGCUAGUUGGUGAGGUAAAAGCUCACCAAGGCGAUGAUCUGUAGCUGGUCUGAGAGGACGACCAGCAACACUGGGACUGAGCCACGGCCCAGACUCCUACGGGAUGAAGGAGUGGGGAAUAUUGGACAAUGGGGGCAACCCUGAUCCAGCCAUGCCGCGUGAGUGAUGAAGACCUUAGGGUUGUAAAGCUCUUUUACUCGGGAAGAUAAUGACUGUACCGAGAGAAUAAGCCCCGGCUAACUUCGUGCCAGCCGCCGCCGUAA
rnacentral:rRNA from 1 species